GGACAGGAGUUUUGAGUAAAAAAAAAGGCAGGAUGAGACACUUGCAAAAAAAAAAGUCAGGACGAAAAUUUAGGUAAAAAAAGUCAGGAUAAACUAAAAAAAAAAAAGGCAGGACCGAACAGAGUAAAAAAUAAAAAGGCAGGACAGAGAUUACAGCUAAAAAAAAUGCAGGACAAAUUUUUUCAUCCUAGCCCCCCCCCCCCCCAUAAAAAUCAAAUGGUAG
rnacentral:lncRNA from 1 species